rnacentral:rRNA from 1 species
UCCAGACUCCUACGGGAGGCAGCAGUGGGGAAUAUUGCACAAUGGGGGAAACCCUGAUGCAGCAACGCCGCGUGAAGGAAGACGGUUUUCGGAUUGUAAACUUCUGUUCUUAGUGAAGAAGAAUGACGGUAGCUAAGGAGCAAGCCACGGCUAACUCCGUGCCAGCAGCCGCGGUAAUACGGAGGAUGCGAGCGUUAUCCGGAUUUAUUGGGUUUAAAGGGUGCGCAGGCGGUCUGUUAAGUCAGCGGUCACCGCCGGGGGCACACCCCCGCCCCGCCGUUGAAACUGGCAGUCUCGAGUUGGAGAGAAGUAUGCGGAAUGCGCGGUGUAGCGGUGAAAUGCAUAGAUAUCGCGCAGAACUCCGAUUGCGAAGGCAGCAUGCCGGCUCCACACUGACGCUGAGGCACGAAAGCGUGGGUAUCGAACAGGAUUAGAUACCCGGGUA